rnacentral:rRNA from 1 species
GUGUCAGCCGCCGCGGUAAUACGAAGGGGGCUAGCGUUGUUCGGAAUUACUGGGCGUAAAGCGCGCGCAGGCGGCUAUCCAAGUCAGUGGUGAAAGCCCGGAGCUCAACUCCGGAACUGCCAUUGAAACUGUUUAGCUUGAGGAUGAGAGAGGUGAGUGGAAUUCCCAGUGUAGAGGUGAAAUUCGUAGAUAUUGGGAAGAACACCGGUGGCGAAGGCGGCUCACUGGCUCAUUACUGACGCUCAGGCGCGAUAGCGUGGGGAUCAAACAGGAUUAGAUACCCCCGUAGUCC